UACGUGGACGACACCCAGUUCGUGAGGUUCGACAGCGACGCCGCGAGUCCGAGGACGGAGCCCCGGGCGCCAUGGAUAGAGCAGGAGGGGCCGGAGUAUUGGGACCGGGAGACACAGAAGUACAAGCGCCAGGCACAGACUGACCGAGUGAGCCUGCGGAACCUGCGCGGCUACUACAACCAGAGCGAGGCCGGGUCUCACACCCUCCAGAAUAUGCACUGCUGUGGCGUGGGGCCGGA
rnacentral:misc_RNA from 1 species